CGGCCGCGGGAAUUCGAUUAGAGUUUGAUCAUGGCUCAGGACGAACGCUGGCGGCGUGCUUAACACAUGCAAGUCGAGGGGGGGUGGAGGGCAACUUCUACCUCACCGGCGAACGGGUGCGUAACACGUGAGCAACCUACCGAUUUGUGGGGGAUAGCCGGCCCAACGGCCGGGUAAUACCGCAUACGCUCUUCGCGAGGAGUCUCGUGGAGAGGAAACCUCCGGGGCAAAUCGAGGGGCUCGCGGCCUAUCAGCUAGUUGGUGCGGUCACGGCGCACCAAGGCGACGACGGGUAGCUGGUCUGAGAGGAUGGCCAGCCACAUUGGGACUGAGAGACGGCCCAGACUCCUACGGGAGGCAGCAGUGGGGAAUUUUGGACAAUGGGGGCAACCCUGAUCCAGCCAUGCCGCGUGCGGGAAGAAGGCCUUCGGGUUGUAAAGCUCUUUUGCCAGGGACGAUAAUGACGGUACCUGGAGAAUAAGCCCCGGCAAACUUCGUGCCAGCAGCCGCGGUAAUACGAAUCACUAGUGAAUUCGCGGCCGCCUGCAGGUCGACCAUAUGGGAGAGCUCCCAACGC
rnacentral:rRNA from 1 species